AUUAUUAUUAUUAUGAAGAUCAAUGGUUGGUAUAAACAUUCAGACCAAUAUGCUAUCAUUCUUUGACCCGAGAUAAAUUUAUUGUUGUUUGCUGAAAUGAAAUAUUGAAUUGGUGUAAUCACAAGGACAAAAUGACUGGUGUUUAUCAACCAUUAAUCACUUCAUACAAAAAUAGUAAAUUAUCACCAUUUUGACCUGAAUCGAAGAAGACCAAUGUUUUGCUUUGAAGGACAUGCCCACUUUCGAUUGAAUUUUUUUAAUGAAAAUAGACUCUUAUUACAAAUUAAAUUGUCGGAUUUCUUGAUCACUGACUGUUGUAUUGGUAAAUGCAUUUGCAUAUUUCUCUUCCAGUGACAACAAAUGGGUCAAUUCCACAGAGAGGGUGCCGCUGACUUAGAUUCAUUGCUGUCAACAUAAAGAAAUUAGCCAUAUCUAUCAUGAAAGAUUUCUCUCUCUCUCUCUCUCUCUCUCACACACACACACACACACAACACACACAGAUAAACACUGAACCAACCCACUUCACUGAAAUUGCAGAUGCUCUCUCUCUCUCUCUCUCUUCUUUGACAGGGACGGGAUUUGGGGCGUUGUUAAACAACUACAUGUUGGUGAGAACAUUUACAGUGUAGCAUUCACGUUCAAGAUAGUUAUCUCAACGUACUCUACGACCCUGGUGAUGGAGGAACUCGCUGUACUCACUGAUCUCAGUCACAGAGUACAUUAAAUAAAUUUUACUAAAAUAAUUUCGAUUCGUUUAUCGGAAGCCUUUACUCUAAGAUUAUGGUUCAAUAUUGUUCAGUCCCAGAUAAGCAUAACAUUGUAGGUAGGCAAGAAAUAAUUGCAUGUUUAAAUUGCUGUCCUUUUAAAAGUUUGAUAAUGAAAUUCUGGUAUUUUCAUUUAUUCAGUCAUCUGCGUCAGAAAAUAGCGGUGUCCUCGACUGGAAAUGCGUUAAAUAAGACUGUCUUGUCUUAAGAUGCUUCUGUACCAAGGUGGCCUGCUUCAGAAGAUAGUUUUAGACCAACAGUUGGUGUCAACGUUAAGAACACAUAAUGGGGCUAUACGCGGAGCCGCUUGUCCUAAAGAGGGCGCUCGGGUAAUAGUGGUUAUUGAAGAUAGCCUCGUUUUCGCGUCCGUGUAGAAAUGGCUUUAGAGUAUGGGAAGCAAACGGUGGCGAAGUUAAAACUUCAAUUAGUUGAAAGAGGAGCCCCCACAAGAGGAAAGAAACAGGAUUUGAUAGAAAAGCACUCCUAGCCGAUAAAGGACCGUCCGUUUCGGUAAUCAAAUUUCGUGUACCAGGUCCGACAUUUAACACACUGGUGUCAACGCAAAUUUGUAAAGGAGAAACAAGGGUUGAUGUGUGUUUUAUGUCAAUGACAGUUGACAUAACUAAGUGUAGAUGAGGUAGACAAUCAUAACAGUGUUUGCCAAGAAUGUUAGCAUCAUUGUUUUUUUCACUCCCUCAUAACCUUGCAUUGAUGUUGGUAGGUCACAGAGAAGGAAGUGUCAGAACUUAAAAACAGAACUAGAGGCCAAAGUAAAAGUCGAGUGUGGCAUGAAGAAAGAUCAUGGAGAAUAACACCAUCGAGGUUUGGUGAUAUUUUGAACGCAACCGAAAGACGAGACAAGGACAAAUUAUGCCAGUCACUCUUGUUUACCCAUGAAAUCAAUACUCC
rnacentral:lncRNA from 1 species